CCCGCCCCCAAGGGCCCUUGGUUCCCGCGGUGCCCUCGGGCCCCGGAGGCGGCGUCUUCUCCCCUCCGGUUUGGGAUGAAUUUUCUCCCGUUUCCCCAGGAGACAGUGACUGCCUUGGGAGACAUAUCGAUCCCAAGCUUCUCGGGACUCCACUUUCCUCCAUAUUGGCCGUUCCCUGGCGGGGUUAACCUUCCUCCCCGCCCCCAGCGUGUUUCAGGGCUGGCAGGGAAGGUUCCCGCCGCGCUGAGUCUAGGGCACAGGGUCAUGGAAGGCGGGAAACCAGGAAACUCCACUCCUUACUUCACAGUCCUGCCAGCUGCCUCACAGUGCGAGGCAAAAAUGGAGGAACACUGAAGAAAUGAAAGUCAGAAGAACUUCCAGGAAUCGCGCACUUCGCCCUCAAACAUUGGUGGGCACUAGAAUAAGCCUUUCCUGCCCCAGCCCCUCAGCUGAAUCUCUAAGGGUGAGGCCCAGAUUUUUAAAACAGCCCUUUCGGGUGUACUUUGGCCUCAAAGUUGGUAAAAUAGCCUGGCUUGAGUUUAAAAGCCUGCUCCCCUUGGGACCUAAACCGGAGAUUCUUCAUCUGCAACCAACAGAGAAUGCUCUAGAGGGCUGUUCGCCUAUGCUGAUUCGCUGAACUGAACAGGGAGCAGAAACCCCAGGGCACACUCCAUGUAAGACCAGAUGCUGGAACGAUCAGACACAGGACCCAAGCCCUUUGGAGCCUCCAUUUAUCGACUAUCAAAGGAGGAUGCGUUGUGAAGAAGCACGAACGGGAGGGAGUGUGAACUCUGCCUGUUAGCUGAUUCACUCAACCACCCUCUACCGCUCCCACCCCUGGGCUUGGUGCUGGGACAGCGAUGACGGGGAGAGGGUCCUGCCUCACAGGACUACAACAGCCAAAGGGCUGUGGGUGCAAGGGGGACAGGGCAGGUGUUCUGCCUCUUUAGGGGAGGCCUUGAAGGGGAAGGUGGAGCCCUGAAGCAUGAGUCUGCAGAAGUAGCAAUCAUUCAAUAAAUACAUGCUGAUU
ensembl:lncRNA novel transcript, antisense to COPG1